rnacentral:rRNA from 1 species
CGACCUCAAGCUUUGCUUGAGGAGCCGUGGCAGGUAUUGCAUGGCUGUCGUCAGCUCGUGUCGUGGGACGUUGGGUUAAGUCCCGUAACGAGCGCAACCCCUGCUCUUAAUUGCCAGCGGGUAAUGCCGGGUACUAUAAGGGGACUGCCGGAGAAUAUCCGGAGGAAGGAGGGGAUGACGUCAAGUCAUUAUGAUCCUUAUGCUCUGGGCGACACACGUGCUACAAUGGGCACUACAAUGAGGAGCAAGUCUGCAAGGACGAGCAAAUCUCAAAAAGGUGCCCCCAGUGCGGAUUGGGGUCUGCAACCCGACCCCAUGAAGAUGGAAUCGGUAGUAAUCGCGGGUCAGCCAUACCGCGGUGAAUAUGUACUUGGGCCUUGUACACACCGCCCGUCACACCAAUCGAGUAGGCGACACCCGAAGUCGACGUAUGUUGCCGAAGGU